rnacentral:rRNA from 1 species
ACCGAACGCUGGCGGCAGGCCUAACACAUGCAAGUCGAACGAUUGGUGGACGGGUGUGUAAUGUCCGGGAACAUGCCCGAUGGAGGGGGAUAACUACUGGAAACGGUAGCUACUACCGCAUACCCUCGGCUGUUCCCAUAUGUGUUAAGCUUGUAGGUGGGGUAACGGCUCACCUCGGCGACGAUCCCGAGCUGGUCUGCGAGGAUGACCAGCCACACUGGGACUGAGACACGGUCCAGACGCCUACGGGAGGCAGCAGUGGGGAAUAUUGCACAAUGGGGGCAAGCCUGAUGCAGCCAUGCCGCGUGUGUGAAGAAGGCCUUCGGGUUGUAAAGUACUUUCAGCGAGGAGGCGUUACUCGCAGAAGAAGCACCGGCUAACUCCGUGCCAGCAGCCGCGGUAAUAC